rnacentral:rRNA from 1 species
AUUGAACGCUGGCGGCAGGCUUAACACAUGCAAGUCGAGCGGAGUGAUGGUGCUUGCACUAUCACUUAGCGGCGGACGGGUGAGUAAUGCUUAGGAAUCUGCCUAUUAGUGGGGGACAACAUCUCGAAAGGGAUGCUAAUACCGCAUACGUCCUACGGGAGAAAGCAGGGGAUCACUUGUGACCUUGCGCUAAUAGAUGAGCCUAAGUCGGAUUAGCUAGUUGGUGGGGUAAAGGCCUACCAAGGCGACGAUCUGUAGCGGGUCUGAGAGGAGGAUCCGCCACACUGGGACUGAGACACGGCCCAGACUCCUACGGGAGGAAGCAGUGGGGAAUAUUGGAAAAUGGGGGGAACCCUGAUCCAGCCAUGCCGCGUGUGUGAAGAAGGCCUUAUGGUUGUAAAGCACUUUAAGCGAGGAGGAGGCUCUUUUGGUUAAUACCCAAGAUGAGUGGACGUUACUCGCAGAAUAAGCACCGGCUAACUCUGUGCCAGCCGCCGCCGUAACAC